rnacentral:rRNA from 1 species
GAUGAACGCUGGCGGCGUGCCUAAUACAUGCAAGUCGAGCGAACAGACGAGGAGCUUGCUCCUCUGACGUUAGCGGCGGACGGGUGAGUAACACGUGGAUAACCUACCUAUAAGACUGGGAUAACUUCGGGAAACCGGAGCUAAUACCGGAUAAUAUAUUGAACCGCAUGGUUCAAUAGUGAAAGACGGUUUUGCUGUCACUUAUAGAUGGAUCCGCGCCGCAUUAGCUAGUUGGUAAGGUAACGGCUUACCAAGGCAACGAUGCGUAGCCGACCUGAGAGGGUGGUCGGCCACACUGGAACUGAGACACGGUCCAGACUCCUACGGGAGGCAGCAGUAGGGAAUCUUCCGCAAUGGGCGAAAGCCUGACGGAGCAACGCCGCGUGAGUGAUGAAGGUCUUCGGAUCGUAAAACUCUGCUAUUAGGGAAGAACAAAUGUGUAAGUAACUAUGCACGUCUUGACGGUACCUAAUCAGAAAGCCACGGCUAACUACGUG